UUCCUUCAGAUUCUGUUCUCUUGGCUGUAAGAUUGUGGGAACAUCGAAGAAUUUCGAGAAGAAACGGCGGGUGAUGGGAUCGGAUUCAGAGGAUUCAUCGUACAGUAGUAGUAGUAGUAGUCAAGGGAGGAUAAUGAAGAACAACAAUAAGAACAGAGUUGUGCAGAGUUUCACUCCGUCAACGCCACCACCAACUUUGGUCAGUUACAGAACAGCCAAACGAAGAAAGGGGAUUCCACACAGAGCUCCAAUGGGAGGACUCAUUAUCG
rnacentral:misc_RNA from 1 species